rnacentral:rRNA from 1 species
UACGGAGGAUGCGAGCGUUAUCCGGAUUUAUUGGGUUUAAAGGGUGCGUAGGCGGGCUGUUAAGUCAGCGGUCAAAUGUCGGGGCUCAACCCCGGCCGCCGUUGAAACUGGUGGCCUCGAGUGGGCGAGAAGAAUGCGGAAUGCGUGGUGUAGCGGUGAAAUGCAUAGAUAUCACGCAGAACUCCGAUUGCGAAGGCAGCAUACCGGCGCCCGACUGACGCUGAGGCACGAAAGCGUGGGUAUCGAACAGG